UCCAAAAAUAUUAAAAGAGUAAGAACUACAAUGCCCUGUAACAUUGCUAGGGCUUCAUCCAGCCCUAAACUAGACGUUUAGCCGAGCAUGGCUUUCGGACGACCUUCCAUCUUCAAGUGAAAGUCUUCCCUCUCAUUCUUCCCAAAAUAUCACAAACUAUUCUCUUUCCCCCUCCUUUCUUUUUUUUAUUUAUUUAUUUUC
rnacentral:lncRNA from 1 species